rnacentral:rRNA from 1 species
GGGCGUUUUACAGCCCCGAGAUGGGUACUGAGACAACGACCCAGGCCUUGCGAGGCGCAGCAGGCGCGAAACCUCCGCAAUACACGAAAGUGUGACGGGGGUUACCCCAAAGUGUUCAAUACUGAACUGUGGUAGGUGAGUAAUGCUCCCCUACUAGGAAGGAGAGGGCAAAGGCUGGUGCAAGCCGCCGCGGGUAAAAACCAGCUCUUCAGGUGGGUCGGGGAUAAUUAUUGGGCUUAAAGUGGUCCGUAGCCUGGUUUAGUAAGUUCCUGGUAAAAUCGGGUAGGUUUAACCUAUCUGUAUGCAAGGAAUACUGCUAUAACUAGAGGGUGGGAGAGGUCUGGAGGUACCUACAAGGGUAGGGGUGAAAUCUUAUAAUCCUUGUAGGGACCACCAGGUGGCGAAGGGCGUCAGACUUGGAACGCGCCUGACAGUGAGGGGACGAAAGCCAGGGGAACGAACCGGAUUAGAUACCCGGGUAGUCCUGGCCGUAAACGAUGCAUACUAGGUGAUGGCACGGUCAUGAGCCGGUGUCAGUGCCGUAGGUAAACCGUUAAGUGUGCGCCUGGGAGUACGGUCGCAGGGCUAAACUUA